rnacentral:tRNA from 1 species
GCAGUGGUGGUUCAGCGGUAGAAUUCUUCCUUUUUAUGCAGGAGACACAGGUUCGAUUCCUGACCAAUGUA